CCAGACUCCUACGGGAGGCAGCAGUGGGGGAUAUUGCACAAUGGGGGAAACCCUGAUGCAGCGACGCCGCGUGGGUGAAGGAGUACUUCGGUACGUAAAGCCCUAUCGGCAGGGAAGAAAUUGGACGGUACCUGACUAAGAAGCCCCGGCUAACUACGUGCCAGCAGCCGCGGUAAUACGUAGGGGGCAAGCGUUAUCCGGAUUCACUGGGUGUAAAGGGAGCGUAGACGGCCAUGCAAGCCUGGAGUGAAAGCCCGGGGCCCAACCCCGGGACUGCUCUGGGAACUGUGCGGCUGGAGUGCGGGAGGGGCAGGCGGAAUUCCUGGUGUAGCGGUGAAAUGCGUAGAUAUCAGGAGGAACACCGGCGGCGAAGGCGGCCUGCUGGACCGCGACUGACGUUGAGGCUCGAAAGCGUGGGGAGCAAACAGGAUUAGAUACCCGAGUAGC
rnacentral:rRNA from 1 species